rnacentral:rRNA from 1 species
CAAUACUCCCGCCGGCGACCGGCGCACGGGUGAGUAACACGUAUGAAACCUGCCCGUAGCAGGGGGACAACCCGGGGAAACCCGGACUAAUACCCGGCGGGGCCUGGAGGGGGCAUCCCCUCCCGGCUGAAGGAGGCGACUCCGCCGCGGGAUGGGCAUGCGGCGCAUUAGCUUGUUGGCGGGGCAACGGCCCACCAAGGCGACGAUGCGUAGGGGUUCUGAGAGGAAGGUCCCCCACACUGGAACUGAGACACGGUCCAGACUCCUACGGGAGGCAGCAG